GAUGAACGCUGGCGGCGUGCCUAAUACAUGCCAGUCGAGCGAACGGACGAGAAGCUUGCUUCUCUGAUGUUAGCGGCGGACGGGUGAGUAACACGUGGAUAACCUACCUAUAAGACUGGGAUAACUUCGGGAAACCGGAGCUAAUACCGGAUGAUAUUUUGAACCGCAUGGUUCAAAAGUGAAAGACGGUCUUGCUGUCACUUAUAGAUGGAUCCGCGCUGCAUUAGCUAGUUGGUAAGGUAACGGCUUACCAAGGCAACGAUGCAUAGCCGACCUGAGAGGGUGAUCGGCCACACUGGAACUGAGACACGGUCCAGACUCCUACGGGAGGCAGCAGUAGGGAAUCUUCCGCAAUGGGCGAAAGCCUGACGGAGCAACGCCGCGUGAGUGAUGAAGGUCUUCGGAUCGUAAAACUCUGUUAUUAUGGAAGAACAUAUGUGUAAGUAACUGUGCACAUCUUGACGGUACCUAAUCAGAAAGCCACGGCUAACUACGUG
rnacentral:rRNA from 1 species